CGAGCUGGAGGAGUCUAGGAACUAGCGCGGUCUUCUCAUGAUUUUCCAAUCCAGCGCGUGGAGGCCAAUUUCGUAUCUCGGAGCAUAGAAAGGGAUUCUAGGAAGGUUUACACAGCAACUAUAAUAUUUGAUCAGAGUGAUGGACUAAGAAAAAGACUGUUUUGGAUCAUGGCACCUGAAAUCGCAUUCAGUGUAAACACAGAUAGGGCUGCCGAGGAAAAAUGGCUGUAAAUAUUUCAAUCGCUAGGGGACGGGGGUGCUGUCGUUCAAAGUCAUUGGUUCAAGAAGUGCUUUAACGAAAAUGUUUCUCUCGUAUUCAGAGUGUUCCAUUUUGAAUGACAAGAAAUGUCUGCUAAAUCCACCAACACAAUAAAUCAAACAAUAAUGAUGUCUAGGCAGAGAAAAUAAAAUGUUUAAAAAUAAUAUUCCCAAGGUAUAAAAGCGUUUUCAGUGUUGGCAACAGGUAGUGCAACAAAGACAUUUUUAAAGCAUGUCAGUAUUAGUUAUCUAGCUAAGAAGCAAAUCUUUUCUGGAAAAUUGGUGUUAAAAAUCUCUUUUUUAAAAAACCAAAGUACUAAAUUCCCCAUAAUCUAAUAUUCAGGGGGGGGGAGGGGGGACUGGAAAACAGCGCAAAAGAAGAGCGGUUAACUGAAACGAUUCUUGCCACUGGCAAAGCAUACUUCGACAUUACAUAUCCUCUACCCCCUGAUCUAAUAUAAUCAAUUUGACUACAGAAACUACUUUAACACAGCAGUGAUUAAUACACACACUCUGAACAUUACAACUGGAUAUAACUGACUUAUUUUAAAGGCAUCAAGGCGAAGAAAAAUGAAAGUGAUAUUUUUAAUACUUGCAGCGGUAGAGGUUUCAUUGUGCUUUGAUAAACUGAUAGAAAAUUUGAGAAAGAUUCAAUUUCACGAGGAUGAAGAAUUGCUUGAUUUCAAAGGAGGUGAAUACAUGAUUCAGUCCACGAAAAAACAAGGAAAACUAAUGUUUGAUUUCAUGGACGCAAAUAAAGACGGAUUUGUCACAAGAGACGAAAUGCGUGAAUUUGGCAAGGUGAUAGUGAGCAACAGCUCCGAGCAGUUGGACUUCUGGGUAAGCGGCAACUUCAAAAGCGAUGAAAACAAAGACGAACAACUGACCUUCGACGAGUUUUUUAAGCCCCAAUCAAGGAUGGGACAAAAGUCAAGCGACGAGCUUUGAGAAUGAUAAAGGGUAUGGGAAUUAUUGCUACUGGUACACAGUGUUGCAACACCGAAUAUGUUCACCCGAACCAGAUAUUUCUUCGCAAUCAUUUAAUUUGUGGAAUUGAGUCUUUAGGAUGCUUCAUCAAAUUUAUGAAUCAAACUUUUAUGAAUUGAAAUCCAAAUUAUAUUCCGCGACUCUC